rnacentral:RNase_P_RNA from 1 species
GAGAGUAGGCGCAGGCGGUUGCAGAUCAGUCAUAGUUACUGGUUUGAGGAAAGUCCGGACUCCCGAAAGACCAAACUUGCUGGAUAACGUCCAGUGCGAGCGAUCGUGAGGAUAGUGCCACAGAAAGAUACCGCCAGGACAAUUAAAAAUUAAAAAUUAAAAAUGUAAAAUGAGCAAUCAAUUUUUAAUUUUUAAUUUUACAUUUUUAAUUGAUCUGGUAAGGGUGCAAAGGUGCGGUAAGAGCGCACCAGCAGUAUCGAGAGGUGCUGGCUCGGUAAACCCCGGUUGGGAGCAAGGCGAUAGGAACUACGGUUGGUCUUUUACCAGUUCCGCUCAAUGAGAGCCGCUUGAGGCGUUUGGUAACAAACGUCCCAGAUAGAUAACUGCCCUCGCAAGAGAACAGAACCCGGCUUAUGUCCUGCUCUCUCCC